UUGAAUAAACUUGGUUGGGUUGUUGCUGGCUUUCAGGAGCAUGUGCACGCUCAUUCCAUCUUUUUUAACCACCUGUGCACCCACUGUAGGCUUGAAAUGAACCUUUCGAGGAAACUCGGUUUGAGAACUGUUAGAAGCUGUUCUUACAUUUCAGGUCUAUGUUUUUAAACAUAUACUCCAUAAACAAGUCAAGGAAUGUUAAUUAUUGGCCUCAUGUGCCUUUAAACCUAAUACAACUUUCAACAACGGAUCUCUUGGCUCUCGCAUCGAUGAAGAACGCAGCGAAAUGCGAUAAGUAAUGUGAAUUGCAGAAUUCAGUGAAUCAUCGAAUCUUUGAACGCACCUUGCGCUCCUUGGUAUUCCGAGGAGCAUGCCUGUUUGAGUGUCAUGAAAUUCUCAACCUCUCUGGCUUUCAUUAGCUGGUCAGGUUUGGAUUGUGGGAGUUUGCUGGCUUUUUCGGAGAUCAGCUCUUCUUAAACACAUUAGCAAAAAUUCUUGCUGAACAUCUUUGGUAUGAUAAUUAUCUAUAUCAUAGAAACACAGCUUUUUCCACUUUGUUCGGAUUAGGCUCCUCUUGGAUCCAUCCAAGUGUUCGACUCAACCGCUCUGAAGCACCAGCUUAGGCACAGAUGUUAGAUCGUCUGAUGGUGUUACAUACUUCAGGUUGACGAAGCGAGGCGUUCUUCGGAGCGCUCACGAGAGCAAGCACUGUAUCAAUUUCUUUUUGAGAUUGUUGGUGCACUGUCAUAUUCCUGUACCUACCCUAGCUACUAUGUGGCUUUGAUGGGUCUGGUCAAACCAUGACCUGAACAUAUUCUUAGUGGUGAAGGAUCUUGCUUCUAAUUAUUGUUCCAAGGAACAUAUCUUUUGACAAU
rnacentral:misc_RNA from 1 species